AACGAACGCUGGCAGCAUGCCUAACACAUGCAAGUCGAACGAGACCUUCGGGUCUAGUGGCGCACGGGUGCGUAACGCGUGGGAACCUGCCCUUAGGUUCGGAAUAACUCCCCGAAAGGGGUGCUAAUACCGGAUAAUGUCUUCGGACCAAAGAUUUAUCGCCUUUGGAUGGGCCCGCGUUGGAUUAGCUAGUUGGUAGGGUAAAAGCCUACCAAGGCGACGAUCCAUAGCUGGUCUGAGAAGAUGAUCAGCCACACUGGGACUGAGACACGGCCCAGACUCCUACGGGAGGCAGCAGUGGGGAAUAUUGGACAAUGGGCGAAAGCCUGAUCCAGCAAUGCCGCGUGAGUGAUGAAGGCCUUAGGGUUGUAAAGCUCUUUUACCCGGGAUGAUAAUGACAGUACCGGGAGAAUAAGCUCCGGCUAACUCCGUG
rnacentral:rRNA from 1 species